AGUCAAUAGAUACCCAGGUAGUCCCAGCUGUAAACGAUGCGCGUUAGGUGUAUCGGUGACCACGAGUCACCGAGGUGCCGAAGGGAAACCGUGAAACGUGCCGCCUGGGAAGUACGGUCGCAAGGCUGAAACUUAAAGGAAUUGGCGGGGGAGCACCACAACAGGUGGAGCCUGCGGUUUAAUCGGACUCAACGCCGGGAAGCUCACCGGAUAAGACAGCUGAAUGAUAGCCGGGUUGAAGACUCUGCUUGACUAGCUGAGAGGAGGUGCAUGGCCGUCGUCAGUUCGUACUGUGAAGCAUCCUGUUAAGUCAGGCAACGAGCGAGACCCAGCCAACAGUUGCCAGCAUGUCCUCCGGGAUGGUGGGGACACUGUUGGGACCGCCUCUGCUAAAGAGGAGGAAGGAAUGGGCAACGGUAGGUCAGCAUGCCCCGAAUUAUCCGGGCUACACGCGGGCUACAAUGGUCAGGACAAUGGGUAUCAACACCGAAAGGUGAAGGCAAUCUCCUAAACCUGUCCUUAGUUCGGAUUGUGGG
rnacentral:rRNA from 1 species